GACGGAGUACGAACAUUCAUGAAAGAGGCGAAAGAGAGCUGGCAAAGCUAUGAAUAACUAUAGCCGAAAAGGUGUGUAAAUUGUCUUGAGUACUUUUACAGCUAUACAAAAGAAUAAGAAGAAAGCAGGCUAAUAAUAAAAGGGGAUGCCGAAGGCAAAUGAGACUAGAAAGCAUGGACGAUCGAAGCCUUAUACUAUACGUAGGGUACCUCUUUUU
rnacentral:misc_RNA from 1 species